UCCGGCUUGUCACCGGCAGUCCCGUCAGAGUGCCGUGCAAAGCACGUAGCAACUGACGGCAAGGGUUGCGCUCGUUAGAGGACUUAACCUAACAUCUCACGACACGAGCUGACGACAGCCAUGCAGCACCUGUAUAAUUGUCUAAGUAAACUUAGAAGAUCGUGUUUCUACGACUGUCAAAAAUAUGUCAAGCCCAGGUAAGGUUUCUCGCGUAGCGUCGAAUUAAACCACAUGUUCCACCGCUUGUGCGGACCCCCGUCAAUUCCUUUGAGUUUUAGUCUUGCGACCGUAAUCCCCAGGUGAAUCACUUAACGCGUUAGCUACGAUACUGAUCCGACUAAGUCAGACCAACAUCUAGUGAUUAUCGUUUACGGCGUGGACUAC
rnacentral:misc_RNA from 1 species